GGCGAACGGGUGAGUAACACGUGAGUAACCUGCCCUUAACUCUGGGAUAAGCCUGGGAAACUGGGUCUAAUACCGGAUAUGACUCCUCAUCGCAUGGUGGGGGGUGGAAAGCUUUUUGUGGUUUUGGAUGGACUCGCGGCCUAUCAGCUUGUUGGUGAGGUAAUGGCUCACCAAGGCGACGACGGGUAGCCGGCCUGAGAGGGUGACCGGCCACACUGGGACUGAGACACGGCCCAGACUCCUACGGGAGGCAGCAGUGGGGAAUAUUGCACAAUGGGCGCAAGCCUGAUGCAGCGACGCCGCGUGAGGGAUGACGGCCUUCGGGUUGUAAACCUCUUUCAGUAGGGAAGAAGCGAAAGUGACGGUACCUGCAGAAGAAGCGCCGGCUAACUACGUGCCAGCAGCCGCGGUAAUACGUAGGGCGCAAGCGUUAUCCGGAAUUAUUGGGCGUAAAGAGCUCGUAGGCGGUUUGUCGCGUCUGCCGUGAAAGUCCGGGGCUCAACUCCGGAUCUGCGGUGGGUACGGGCAGACUAGAGUGAUGUAGGGGAGACUGGUAUUCCUGGUGUAGCGGCGAAAUGCGCAGAUAUCAGGAGGAACAUCCGAUGGCGAAGGCAGGU
rnacentral:rRNA from 1 species